rnacentral:rRNA from 1 species
CCUACGGGUGGCAGCAGUGGGGAAUAUUGGACAAUGGGGGCAACCCUGAUCCAGCCAUGCCGCGUGUAUGAAGAAGGCCCUCGGGUUGUAAAGCACUUUCAGUGAGGAAGAACGCCUGGUGGUUAAUACCCAUCAGGAAAGACAUCACUCACAGAAGAAGCACCGGCUAACUCCGUGCCAGCAGCCGCGGUAAUACGGAGGGUGCGAGCGUUAAUCGGAAUUACUGGGCGUAAAGCGCGCGUAGGUGGCUUGAUAAGCCGGUUGUGAAAGCCCCGGGCUCAACCUGGGAACGGCAUCCGGAACUGUCAAGCUAGAGUGCAGGAGAGGAAGGUAGAAUUCCCGGUGUAGCGGUGAAAUGCGUAGAGAUCGGGAGGAAUACCAGUGGCGAAGGCGGCCUUCUGGACUGACACUGACACUGAGGUGCGAAAGCGUGGGUAGCAAACAGGAUUAGAUACCCCAGUAGUC